GCCACUCCUACCUAAAACGUUUCUUUCUAAUACACCCCCACAUGUCUAUAUCACGAUGUGGGAAGAUUUGCACAACAAUGCCUAAAUAUCUCACUCUCUUUCUCUCUCUCUAUAUAUAUAUUUAGGCAUAAUUUUUUCAGAUUCCUAAGGAUCCCGAUAGACAACUAAAAUGGUUCACUACAAUAAAACUCAAAAAUUUUCAACACAAAAUUUGGGUUUAAACGGGAUAUUUUCAUGAUAUUUAUGAUAGCUAUAUCACUGUGAAUACAGUACACAUGCUGGCUACCUACAAGGACAGCUAGGGUCGAUUACGUUAAAACACAGUUGACUUACCCUUCCAAUGACGACAAAGCAGGUUUUAGCCGGCAGACUCCAAAGUUGAAUAUUCAUCAAAAAAUUAGAUUGCAUCCAUUUGUACCCCUCCAGGCUUUUGUGGGCUUUUAAGGAGUCUCCGGAGUAGGACGAGGGAAAGUUGAUGAGGUAAUGCUAGUUGUAGAUAUCAGGAUACUGCAAUUCAGGAAAGCUAUCCGUUCCUUUAUUGAUAUGUACGUUAAAAGCACCCCGGGGGCCUUAUAGGUAUCUGUUAUGUUUAAUCUAGUAAGUUUUGCUAUGUACAGGUCUAUGUCUUUUGAAUUAGUGCACAGUAAACUCUGUUGCCUUGAAACUCAUGCAUCGGUUAUUUUUAAUAAGCGAAGUAUCAUUUCAUAUUCGCUCCCAGCAUGGUGGUGUAAACAGAAUGGGUCACGUGACGUCCGGAGCUCUAUUGCCGCUUGCGCUUGUGGUGUGAAACCGGCUUUCUUCUGGAAAGAAAGUGCAGUGUUCCUCAGUGUGACUUAACUGAGCCAUAUGCAUUCAUUCUGAAGGACAUCAGUUCAGUUGUGAUCAGUGUAAUGUUUUUUUUUUCUUUUGCCAUCACACUUAACAGAUACAGAUGAAACGCUGAAUGUGGGCUACCAUUUUUUUAUUUGCAUCCUUCUCUGCAUACUUCAGAUAACUUUUAUUACAAACAAAAGGACAUAAACUUAUAAUGAACUCUGCACUGUGUUAUUUGAGUUCAAUGAUUAUGUAAACGUUGUCAGUCUGGAUUUGAAUAUGACAUGAAAAAAAAAUCAUAUUUCAGCAGUGUAAUUCACACAAUUCACCAGAGGAAGGCAUUCAAACAUCAUUUUAAAUGUAUAUAAGAAUACAUUUCAACUUGGCAGAAUGUUUACAGAAGCCAAUCUUUAAGUUUCAUAUUCUGCACACAAUAACUAAUAACAUUGAAACAUAUGCUAUUUAAUGAUUGCUGCAUGUUUGUUUUCGUCUGUUGCCCUAAUAAAGGUUACAUUUGGUUGACAAGCAUUUGAUAUUUAGGGAUAAACUAAUAAUUUUUUACUUUUACUUUACUAACUUUUUAUAAAUGGUUUCUGCACUUUUGCCUUUCAGACAGAAUCUCACACAAGCUUAUAUCUUGCAUUGGUAGUUAUUGUCAUAACAUCACUGAACAGCAUAUUUGAAAAUAAAGUUUACCACAUAAAACAUUUUCUAUACAUUUUUAUGCACUAUAUAGGACUUUUAUUUUGUUCUGAUUAUAUGACGUCAUAAAGCCGCGCUGUGAUUCGACUGAAGGAAGAGUACCAAACACAGAAAAACUGCUGAAGUAACUGAGAUCACGUGACACACAAUUAUAAUGAUGGCGUUUAUUAAAGAAGAGAUGGAAGAGCUGAAGAUUGAAGAAGUGUUCAGUCUGAAACAAGAAGAUACAGAGGAACAAACAGACCUGAUGCCACUGAAAGAGGAGAGUCAAGAUCCCAGUGAUAUGGAAGAAGAAUAUCAAUAUGAGAAAACCUCAUCAGUU